CCUACGGGUGGCUGCAGUGGGGAAUUUUGGACAAUGGGGGCAACCCUGAUCCAGCCAUGCCGCGUGCGGGAAGAAGGCCUUCGGGUUGUAAACCGCUUUUGUCGGGGAAGAAAUCCUCUGGGCUAAUACCUCGGGGGCAUGACGGUACCCGGGGAAUAAGCACCGGCUAACUACGUGCCAUCAGCCGCGGUAAUACGUAGGGUGCAAGCGUUAAUCAGGGUGACUGGGCGUAGUGCGUGAACAGGCGGUUGAAAUCCCCGGGCUCAACCUGGGAACUGCAUUUGUGACUGCAAGGCUGGAGUGCGGCAGAGGGGGAUGGAAUUCCGCGUGUAGCAGUGAAAUGCGUAGAUAUGCGGAGGAACACCGAUGGCGAAGGCAAUCCCCUGGGCCUGCACUGACGCUCAUGCACGAAAGCGUGGGGAGCAAACGGGAUUAGAUACCCGGGUAGUC
rnacentral:rRNA from 1 species